GUCUUUUGGGAGGCAAAAAGAGUGAAGAAAACCCCCUAAAAAGGGUAUUUUCAGGCAAGAGCCUUGCGUGCACUUGGUACACCUGCAAGGGGCUGUUUUGGGGGGCUUCACGACCUCCCUUGCGGCUGAAAGGGAGCUCGUGAAGCCAUCCUACGCCUUGUGGCCUCCCUUGCGCCGCAAGGCAGCCCGUGAGCAGAUCUCGGGCUAAGGCCUAUUUAAGGCCCUUCUUGGACCUUCUAGGCUCUUCUUUGAGCCUUUCUUCCUCUCCUUCUUUCUCCUCCUCUAGAACCUUUAUUUCUCCUCUCCAAACUCCUCAUCUUUGGCCUCCAAGCAAAGAUAGAAAUGGAGAUAUUUCUCCUCUUCUCUUGAAGAAGAGAUUUCUUAGGAUCUUGAGAAGCUUGGUGGAGGUGAAACUUCAAGCAAGGAAUAAGAUCUGGUGGAGAAGUAACACCGGAGGGUAUUAACUCACCAAGUUUGUGAUAGUUCAGCACAGUGGUGCAAAUGCGAGGUGCUUGACAGGAGUCUAGUUAAAUGAAAUUAUUUUAAGUUUGUGUAUGUAUGUUCCAGUCCUUGACAUGUAGGGUAUGGGAUCCAUUAGUGUAUUGUCUUGGUCCAUUUGUGUAUAUUUCCCUUCCUUAGAUAUUCGUGUAUGUUGAUAUCGCCCAAAUGUUGUCUGAGAAACUAUACUUUGAGUUUGAGAUGUAAUUAGGAUUAUGUAAUUCAGGCUCUAAUCUUGUA